rnacentral:rRNA from 1 species
UACGGAAGGUCCGGGCGUUAUCCGGAUUUAUUGGGUUUAAAGGGAGCGUAGGCCGGAGAUUAAGCGUGUUGUGAAAUGUAGAUGCUCAACAUCUGCACUGCAGCGCGAACUGCUUUCCUUGAGUACGCACAAAGUGGGCGGAAUUCGUGGUGUAGCGGUGAAAUGCUUAGAUAUCACGAAGAACUCCGAUUGCGAAGGCAGCUCACUGGAGCGCAACUGACGCUGAAGCUCGAAAGUGCGGGUAUCGAACAGG